rnacentral:rRNA from 1 species
CCUACGGGAGGCUGCAGUGAGGAAUAUUGGUCAAUGGCCGAGAGGCUGAACCAGCCAAGUCGCGUGAGGGAUGACGGCCCUACGGGUUGUAAACCUCUUUUGUCGGGGAGCAAAGAGAGUCACGUGUGGCCCAUUGCGAGUACCCGACGUAAAAGCAUCGGCUAACUCCGUGCCAGCAGCCGCGGUAAUACGGAGGAUGCGAGCGUUAUCCGGAGUUAUUGGGCGUAAGGGGUGCGUCGGUGGCAUAGUAAGUCUGUUGUAAAAGUGCUGGGCUCAACCCAGUAGGGGAAACGAUACUGCAAAGCUAGAGUAUGCCAGAGGCAAGUGGAACUACAUGUGUAGCGGUUAAAUGCGUAGAUAUUAGGAGGAACAUCAGGGGCGAAGGCGGCUUACUGGACUGUAACUGACACUGAGGUACGAAAGCGUGGGGAGCAAACAGGAUUAGAUACCCUUGUAGUC